GAUGAACGCUGGCGGCGUGCCUAAUACAUGCAAGUCGAGCGAACAGAUAAGGAGCUUGCUCCUUUGACGUUAGCGGCGGACGUGUGAGUAACACGUGUGUAACCUACCUAUAAGACUGGUAUAACUCCGGUAAACCGGGUCUAAUGCCGGAUAACAUUUAGAACCGCGUGGUUCUAAAGUGAAAUUUGGUUUUUCUGUCACUUAUAGAUGGACCCGCGCCGGAUUAGCUAGUUGGUAGGGUAACGGGCUAGCAAGGCAACGAUACGUAGCCGACCUGCGGGGGGGAUCGGCGACACUGGAACUUAGACAGGGUCAAGACUCCUAAGGGAGGCAGCAGUAGGGAAUGGGACGCAAUGGGCGAAAGCCUGACGGAGCAACGCCGAGUCAGUGAUGAAGGCCUUGGGAUCGUAAAACUCUGUUAUUAGGGAAGAACCAAUGUGUCAGUAACUGUGCAGGUAUUGACGGUAACUAAUCAGAAAGCACCGGCUAACUACGUG
rnacentral:rRNA from 1 species